GGAAUCUUCCACAAUGGGCGCAAGCCUGAUGGAGCAACACCGCGUGAGUGAAGAAGGGUUUCGGCUCGUAAAGCUCUGUUGUUAAAGAAGAACACGUAUGAGAGUAACUGUUCAUACGUUGACGGUAUUUAACCAGAAAGUCACGGCUAACUACGUACCAG
rnacentral:rRNA from 1 species